rnacentral:rRNA from 1 species
AUUGAACGCUGGCGGCAUGCCUUACACAUGCAAGUCGAACGGUAACGCGGGGCAACCUGGCGACGAGUGGCGAACGGGUGAGUAACGCAUCGGAACGUGCCCAGUAGUGGGGGAUAGCCCGGCGAAAGCCGGAUUAAUACCGCAUACGACCUACGGGUGAAAGGGGGGGAUCGCAAGACCUCUCGCUAUUGGAGCGGCCGAUGUCAGAUUAGGUAGUUGGUGGGGUAAAGGCCCACCAAGCCUUCGAUCUGUAGCUGGUCUGAGAGGACGACCAGCCACACGAGGACUGAGACGCGGCCCAGACUCCUACGGGAGGAAGCAGUGGGGAAUUUUGGACAAUGGGCGCAAGCCUGAUCCAGCAAUGCCGCGUGCAGGAUGAAGGCCUUCGGGUUGUAAACUGCUUUUGUACGGAGCGAAAAGGCUCUCUCUAAUACAGGGGGCUCAUGACGAUACCGUAAGAAUAAGCACCGGCUAACUACGUGCCAGCCGCCGCCGUAA